CCACUGUAUUCUCUUAAAAGUUAAAAUGUAAAUAAAUAAGUAUAAUUUAAUAUAGUAAUUAAAUAUGCACAUAGCAUGUCUGAGUAAGUGUUUACCAGUGUCCUUCCCUUUCAGGCCCCUGCAUUUUAACAUAGACUUGCCAGAGGAAGCUGGCUCAUGUGCAUUUUGUGAAGGAAAGUGAGCAGCAUGGGGUUGUCCACUGGAGACUCCAUAUGGCACACUGCAGUAUGCUCCUGUGUCCAAGGCUGAAACUUAGAACCAUAUCUCAGUUCUGGAUCUGGCAUCCAGGCCCAUCUUGAUCCUGGGUUUAGGAGACAGCCUAUAGCAUGCAGCUCCCUUUGAGACAUGUGACAAGCAUGUGGAUAAAGACCCAGAGUCUUCAAAGCUAAUUUCACCUCUGACAUCUGACCUCUUCAGUCAAUAUCCCUCAGUACUGGGUAUCUCAUAGGUCCCUGUUCCUCCUUCCCUGUGUCCUAUUGUCCUAGUUCAGACCCCACCUCUGUCACUCAUUGCCGGGACCACAGAACCAGUGGGAUCCUAGCCUUCAACUCUUCCUCUUCCCCACCAUUCCCACACUCACUCUAAAUGGGAAGCUGAUAGUUUGCCCCUUGCUGAAAAUUGUGCAGUGGUUUUACGUUGCUCUACAAGAUGAUUCGAUUCAGCAUCUGUCCUUCCAGGGUAUUUCAGUCUGCUUAGGUAGCAUCACACAAUACCUUGGACUAGAUGAUUUACAAUCAGUAAAAAUUUACUGUGCAUGGUUCUGAAGGUGGUGAAGUCCAGGAUCUGGCUCCUGAAAGACUGCAUGACUGGUAAGGACUUUAUCAAUGGUGCCUUCCUGCUGCAUCCUUGAGUGGUGGAAAAGGAAAGAGCUGCCCAGCCUGUCUCAGGAGGACUCUCAUCUCCUUCCUGUGAUUCAGUUUUGGCCUAAAGGCCCUGUCACUUACUGCCACCACCCUGGGGAUGAAGCUUCACUGUGUGCAUUUGCGGAGGACACCAGCACUGAGACCGCAGCCCCUGGCUCUGGCUUCCUGUCCAGCUUGCUUUCAUGACUGCUCUGGUCUGUGACUGCUGUCUCCUGCUCUUUCUACAAGAUCUGUCCAUGCACACCUUGGGUUCUGUGUGUCCUAGCUUCUGCUUUGCUGGCUUUUCUCCCUGGAAUAGAGUAUCCAUAUCUUCUUCCCCAACAAUUCGUUCUCCUACAAUCAGCCCAGGCUAGGUACCCUCGACCCCACCCUGCUGAGGCUGAAUGGCUCUCCUUUCUGCCCCAGCUCUGUCUAUGUGGUUAGACAGGGAGCUCUUGGAAGGCAGAGUCUGGUACCUGGAACUUGCAGGUAGCAGGUGCUCAAUAAACAUAUCUGGAUCCAAGCAGCCAGAACAACAGGGACUUGCUGACCACUUUGAUUUUCAUUUGAUCUUUUUUGGAAGUCUGAUGGAAGAAAAUGGCCAUAAUGUCUGGAUCAGAAGUGAGCAGGAAAGCAAAGACUCUGGGUAACCUGUCAAUACAAACUCAUCCCAGACAGCUGAUUCUAGUCCUCUGAGAUGGAAUCUGCUUUUUAUACACUGGAUUAGGAACAGAUCUUCUGUGAAGGUAGCUUUCUCCAGAGAAACAAAUUUAAGGAAUUUAAGAAUUUAAAUGAAAAAAAAUCCUGCUUAAAAGGCAAAUCAACCAAGAUCCUUUUCCUUUUUCUUAUUAAUAAAAGAAUUUACACAGAGGCUCUUCACGAGGUUUGCGAGGGAUUCACGAGGAUCAUUAAAGUCUCUACUAGAGAUUUCCUUUCUUUGUCAAAUUGUCUGUACCCUACAAAGGGAUCACAGAAAAAUGGAUGUUCUGGGCUCUCCUAUAUGAAUGGGUCUUGCUGCACAGUGGGGCCAUUCAUUUUAUUUGGCCCAUUUAUUGCAAGUACAUUCUAAAUUUGGUCUUAAUUAUUUUUCCUUUCACAAAAAUAUUUUGUGGGAUCUUUUUGAACCCUGACUACUUCCUUCUUGCCCCUUACAACAGAAGCCAGGAGUGUUAUUUUUGUUCUCUUCUAAUUAAAAUAAUUGCUUGGUUCCUUUUAACUAGACUCAUGCAGUUAUUAGCCUAAUAUGUGGAAGGGUGCCAUGGGGUGCUCGAGAAACGAAAUGAAAAGUGAUCAUGUAGCUUCACAUGAAAAAGACGUGGCUGUGCCAACAGCAUUAUGUCCCUUCCACUGCCGAUUUCUAAGGGCCUUGCGUAAACCUGGCUCCUGUAUCCGUGGUAAAAGCCUGAGAAUUAAAAGGAGAGUUCCAUGCUCUUUAGUAAGGUAUUGAGCUGGCUCUGCACAGUCUGAAGAGGGCACUUGAUGUACUGGGCAUGGUACAAACUUGGGUCUGCCUGCCAUCUCUUCCCCCUUUCUCAUUCAGAAUCACUGCCAUUCAAAGACAGAUCCCCCUUGUUUCCUCUGCCAGGGACAGCAGAGGAAGAGGGAUAAAGUGCCUGGAUAUGUGCAUUCAUCGAGUGUCCUGAAGAUGCUCCUUCUGACUGGAAGAGCUGAAGAGACAAGACUUUUCACUAAGUGAUAUUUUUGAUGCAGUCUAAGGAUUUAUCUCAAAAUCCCAGUCACAUUACUUCCUGAGAACAAAAGGUCUGCUGAAGUUGCCUGAUGAAAAGUCCAGCCUUCCAGAAUCUUCCAUUCUACAAGUGCUACCUACAGUGACUCUGAGAGAUUGAUUAUUUAUUACGGAGAUGGGAAGAAAAGGAAACGACCAGCCCGUCACACGUCCCUGGCCCAGAUCUGCCAGUCUCUCUCUUCCCGGUCUCAGGAAACUGUGCUGACAGUCCUCGAGGUGCGGUGGGGAGGCUACUACUGAGUCAACCAGCCCAGCUGAUCGAGACAGCACAAAAAAGCUUUGAUGGGAAAUAACGAAAUCAUUCAAGCUUAUUACAAGGGACAACCGAAUGGAAUCAUUGAAGAAUCCAGAAUUGUCUCGGGUCUUUCCCUUUAGGGGACAGAAGAUGGAGAAGGGAAACCACACACAGAGGUUUAAAUAAUAGGAGGCAAAAAAGAAACUAAUAUUGUCACAAUGGGUUUUCAGGAAAUCUCUGUCCCAGAGAAGUCACUCAUGAGCAUCCUGCAGUCUGGAAGCAAGUCCUGAGUUGGAGCAUAAACAGCUUAAGGUUAUGAGUGGAGAGGACUCAACCCGCUCACCGCAGGAUUCGGCACCUGGGGCCACGCCUCCCGCAACCACAGCCAUUAGCAGGGGAUACAAAUCUGGUCCCGAGGGAGCCUGGAGAAGUUUAAGGGACACAGUGUCGACUUCUUCUGGAAAUGUCACAGAACCUGGCUCCCUUGACAGGAAAUAAGGAAACAAGCUACCUUCCUGGAAAAAAAAAAUCAAACUUCUACUUCUCAAAUUAGUUAAAUGAAGCUGAUCGACGGUUGGGAGCGGAGUCUUUGACAGUUGGCUAAUUGCAGCUGGUACGUUAACUAUGUUUUAACCAGCCCUGGUUGGGAUGUAAGUAAAGAAAAAAAUAAAUAAAGCUUAGGCCUUUCCUAUGCAAAACUCUUCCUGUAAAUAUUACCAUACAAAGGGGAGGCUGACUCUUAAUAUUUUAAUUAAGUCGAUUUAUAAGCAUUAAGAAUUUUAUGACACUGACUUCUUUACUUUUGGGAAAGCUGCCCUUCUUUUCCUUUUGAAUCUACCUUUCAGACGUCCUCUGCCUGUAGUUUUACAUGAAGUAUGCUGUGAAAAGUCUCCCUAGGAAAUGUCUGGUUCCAAGUCUGUGGGCAUCUUUUUGAAAUAAAGGUCUUUGUAAAAAAAAAAAAAAAAAGUAAACCUUUAGUCCAAUUGGUUUAUUUUCUGAUCUGCAGUCCUUUGCUGUUAUUAUUGAAGGACUAACAUUUACAGUAAAAUAAAAAAAUACUGAUUUCCUUAUCGAAAGACUGUUGGACUAAUGCAAGCAGAAAAAAGGCAAUGGAGAUUUAGGAAAAUACAAUAGUGUUUUUUGUAUAUUUGAUUUAUUAUUUACCCUUCCAUAUAAUGUGAAAAUAAUGGUUGUAAUGUGACCCGACUUACAGGAAUUUACAAAGAAUGGAAGAAAACAAACUUCCAGCUUCCACUUUACAUUGUAAUGUUAGUAUACUCUCUCAUAUCACUUUGCUUUCUAAUAAAC